rnacentral:rRNA from 1 species
UACGUAGGCAGCAAGCGUUGUUCGGAAUUAUUGGGCGUAAAGAGCUCGUAGGCGGUUUGUCGCGUCGAAUGUGAAAACCCGGGGCUCAACCCCGGGCCUGCAUUCGAUACGGGCAGACUAGAGUUCGGUAGGGGAGUCUGGAAUUCCUGGUGUAGCGGUGAAAUGCGCAGAUAUCAGGAGGAACACCGGUGGCGAAGGCGGGACUCUGGGCCGAUACUGACGCUGAGGCGCGAAAGCGUGGGGAGCAAACAGG